rnacentral:sRNA from 1 species
ACAGUUUUCACAAAGGUCUCUUGAUAUCAAAACUUCUUUCCUUACAUGCUUCUCUGAUCCUGUGGAGAUGAAAAUUGACAUCCAUAGUCAUAUUCUACCAAAAGAAUGGCCAGAUCUAAAAAAGAGGUUCGGCUAUGGAGGCUGGGUGCAGCUCCAACACCACAGCAAGGGAGAAGCAAAGUUGUUGAAAGAUGGGAAAGUCUUCAGAGUGGUGCGAGAGAAUUGCUGGGAUCCAGAAGUUCGUAUUAGAGAAAUGGACCAAAAAGGAGUAACAGUGCAAGCCCUUUCCACAGUUCCUGUCAUGUUUAGCUACUGGGCCAAACCUGAGGACACUUUAAACCUGUGCCAGCUUUUAAACAACGACCUUGCCACCACCGUUGCGAGCUACCCCAGGAGGUUUGUGGGUCUGGGGACGUUGCCCAUGCAGGAUCCUGAGCUGGCGGUCAAGGAGAUGGAGCGCUGUGUGAAAGAGCUGGGCUUUCCCGGGGUCCAAAUUGGCACCCACGUCAACGAGUGGGACCUGAACGCGCAGGAGCUCUUUCCUGUCUAUGAGGCAGCCGAAAGGCUGAAGUGUUCCCUGUUCGUGCAUCCCUGGGACAUGCAGAUGGAUGGACGAAUGGCCAAAUACUGGCUCCCUUGGCUCGUAGGAAUGCCAGCAGAGACCACCAUAGCCAUUUGCUCCAUGAUCAUGGGUGGAGUAUUUGAGAAGUUUCCUAAACUGAAAGUGUGUUUCGCACAUGGCGGCGGUGCCUUCCCCUUCACAGUGGGAAGAAUCUCCCAUGGAUUCAGCAUGCGCCCAGAUCUGUGUGCCCAGGACAACCCAAUGAAUCCGAAGAAAUACCUUGGUUCCUUUUACACAGAUGCUUUGGUUCAUGAUCCUCUGUCCCUCAAGCUGUUAACAGAUGUCAUAGGAAAGGUAAGCCCAGUCUGCUACUUGGACGGCUUAUGGGGAGCAAAAUGCUGCAUCAGCAACCCAUUCUCUCUCCUUUUUUGGCCUCUCUCCAAAAAAGGGACGGAAGAAAGGUAUUAGAUGAAAGGAGAAAGACAGUGAGGUUUGGGAUUAGGGUUGCUCACACAGGGGAUUCUCUCCAGGGUCUCCCUCCACACAGAGUAUAUAAUACUAAGAAACUAUUAUAUAUGCCAGAGAAAUCCAAGAUCAUCUACAUGGCUGGGUAUUCCCCCAGAUCAGCUCCUCUUCCUUAGCGACAUCCCUAUAUACACCCAAAAUGACACAUGGCAAUGUAGUAAGCAGGAAAGGGGCACAAGUUUCAAAGUCAAAUUGACCUGGGUUAAAAUCCUGGCUCUACCUUUCACUAGUUGGGUAAAUUGUGAAUGCAACUGUCUUCAUCCGCUACAUGGAGAAAAUUGGAACACUGAAAGGAUGGAAAAUGCAUAGUUGGGAAAUUGCAUUGGACAGGGAGUCGGGGAAGAUGAUGAACGGUCUUGUGUACCAUGCCCUGAGAUUUCUUCCUGGAAUAAUAUGGCUUUUGAUUCUCUCAUUUAAUUAAAACACCAGAAUGGUGGUACUUUAAAGCGCACAAGAAAAAGUCUUUCCUCUGAUGUAGUCUCCUCGCCAAUCUCUCUGUUGGUGGCACAUCCACCCUUUAAGUAUUCUUUAAAAAUGCUAACUCAGCAAGUUCAAGAAUUUCUAGGGAAAAGGCCAUAGUGAAAAGUCUAAAAUAUUUUGUAUUUCAAUUCCAUCUUAUUACUUACAGAUAUCUAUAGAAGAUUUCCACAUUUUCCCAAGGGAAAAAUCUUUGGGGUUAAAAGUAUAUAGACAUAUUUAAAAAUUUGCAAUAUGGUACUUGAGUUUAGACUCUAAGGUUUAAAAAAAUCAUGUCUAGCAAAAAGAGGCCCAUCAUUUGAAAGUUGCAAGUAGUGGCUUAUCUCCAGAAUGGACACUUUAUCUCAUAUUAAUGCUGACUGUUUCUCUGGCUUGAG